GCCUGGGCAGUGCCCAGCACCCUCUGGGGGAAGAACCUUUCCCUGAUCUGCAGCCUGACCCUCCCCUGGCCCAGCUUCAUCCCUUCAGGCCUUAUCACAGAAGAGGAUGUGCCUGGGGCUGGCUCUGUCCCCAGCUGGUGCAUCUGGCUCUGAGGAGUGGGCAGGAAAGGUCCCAGUGUGAUGGGCAGGAUGUGUAGGCAGCAGACUGUGCCUAUGGCUCUGCUGUCAGGGACAGGGACAGAGGAGUGAGGAGCCUUCCUUGGAGCUCAAUAGCUUCUCCCAGGGAAGAAGAGCCCAAAUCCCAUCAGACAUUGGACAUUUGCCAGCUGAGUGAUGUGUCUCACCAGCUCCUCAGCAAUUGCCCAAAGCUGUGAAUAGCAGGGAGACCUCCCCCACCUGCAGUCACGAGUGCUAUCAGCACCGAGGUGCAAUUGCUGCUGCAUUGCCUCACAUCACCCCUGGUGCUGCCACACCUGAGACAUUCCAGCAGGGUAUCGUCACCUGGUGACUCAGGGCCGCUGGCUUUGGCUCUAAGCUGGAGCCUGUGACCUCAACCUAGGGGACAAUAUCUUGCAAGCUGCUGGCCCCUGCCUCGCUGUGGCACUGAGGAACUCCAGGCCUCUGUGGCAGGGCUUGGAGCCUGGGAUGGACGGUGCUGACAGCCUCAGGAAUCCCACUUCACCUCUGUGCUUGUGACUGGCCAUACUGCAGAUGUUGGGGUAGAGCAGCUCUGACACUGGUGGAGCACAUCUUGCCCACCCGUGGACAGGUCCUCGUGGCUGUCAAGUGGGCAUCCCAUGGUGCAGAGAGCCUGCAAGAUAAUCUAGGAAUGCGCAAGCGACGGUUGUCCUGCCAAGUACCCGAGAUUGGGAUCGCUGGAACCUCCGGAGGAUGCGUCUCAAUGCCGGGUUCCCGGGUUCCUGUAACUCCAUCAUCCAUGUACAUCAUUUCCCGGACCUCGGAUUGUUCAACCCGGUGCAGAGAAAAGAGACUUUAUGGAUAUGUGGGACUUUGAAUGGAAAGAAAAGGCUGAUCGCCGAAAUCCCGGCCUCCAGCAAAAUAAACUGUAUAAAAACUGCUCGCGCAGGACGGAUGGUGUGAAGCAUAGGAGACCCUCUGCCAGAGUGGUUGAACCUGUGUCUCACCCAGCACCAGUCCCGGGCUCAGCACUGUCCUUUUCUUUGUG